rnacentral:rRNA from 1 species
CUACCAUGGCGUUUACGGGUAACGGAGGAUUAGGGUUCGAUUCCGGAGAGGGAGCCUGAGAAACGGCUACCACAUCUAAGGAAGGCAGCAGGCGCGUAAAUUACCCAAUCCUGACUCAGGGAGGUAGUGACAAGAAAUAACGGACCGUUAGCCUUCGGGCGGCGGGACUGCAAUGAGCCGAAUUUACACCCCUUAGCGAGGACCAAUUGGAGGGCAAGUCUGGUGCCAGCAGCCGCGGUAAUUCCAGCUCCAAUAGCGUAUAUUAAAGUUGUUGCAGUUAAAAAGCUCGUAGUUGGAUUUCUGCCAGGGUGCCAAUGUCCGCCGAAGUGCGUGCGCAGCGGCGCCCUCGCAUCCUUCUGUUAACGCCUCUCGGCAUUCACUUGCCGGUGGUGGGCUCAGAUAAUUUACCUUGAGAAAAUUAGAGUGUUUCAGGCAGGCUAGGCCGGAAUACAUUAGCAUGGAAUAAUGGAAUAGGACUACGGUCUCGUUGUUGGUUUGAGGGACUGGAGUAAUGAUUAAUAGGGAUAGUUGGGGGCAUUAGUAUUUAAUUGUCAGAGGUGAAAUUCUCAGAUUUGUUAAAGACUAACUUAUGCGAAAGCAUUUGCCAAGGAUGUUUUCAUUAAUCAA